GACGAACGCUGGCGGCGUGCUUAACACAUGCAAGUCGAACGAGAAGAGAUGAGAAGCUUGCUUCUUAUUGAUUCGAGUGGCAAACGGGUGAGUAACGCGUAAGCAACCUGCCCUUCAGAGGGGGACAACAGUUGGAAACGACUGCUAAUACCGCAUGACAUAUUGAGAUCGCAUGGUUUUAAUAUUAAAGAUUUAUCGCUGAAAGAUGGGCUCACGUCUGAUUAGUUAGUUGGUGAGGUAACGGCUCACCAAGACUGCGAUCAGUAGCCGGACUGAGAGGUUGAACGGCCACAUUGGGACUGAGAUACGGCCCAGACUCCUACGGGAGGCAGCAGUGGGGAAUAUUGGGCAAUGGGCGAAAGCCUGACCCAGCAACGCCGCGUGAAGGAAGAAGGUUUUCGGAUUGUAAACUUCUUUUAUCAGGGACGAAGAAAGUGACGGUACCUGAUGAAUAAGCCACGGCUAACACGUGCCAGCAGCCG
rnacentral:rRNA from 1 species